UACGGGGGGGCAAGCGUUGUUCGGAAUUACUGGGCGUAAAGGGUUUGUAGGUGGCCCGCUAAGUCACACGUGAAAUCCCCUCAGCUUAACUGGGGAACUGCGUGUGAGACUGGCAGGCUCGAGGGCAGGAGAGGAACGCGGAAUUCCAGGUGUAGCGGUGAAAUGCGUAGAUAUCUGGAGGAACACCGGUGGCGAAGGCGGCGUUCUGGACUGUUACUGACACUGAGGAACGA
rnacentral:rRNA from 1 species